rnacentral:rRNA from 1 species
CCUACGGGAGGCAGCAGUGGGGAAUAUUGGACAAUGGGGGGAACCCUGAUCCAGCCAUGCCGCGUGUGUGAAGAAGGCCCUCGGGUUGUAAAGCACUUUCAGUGAGGAAGAACGCCUGGUGGUUAAUACCCAUCAGGAAAGACAUCACUCGCAGAAGAAGCACCGGCUAACUCCGUGCCAGCAGCCGCGGUAAUACGGAGGGUGCGAGCGUUAAUCGGAAUUACUGGGCGUAAAGCGCGCGUAGGUGGCUUGAUAAGCCGGUUGUGAAAGCCCCGGGCUCAACCUGGGAACGGCAUCCGGAACUGUCAAGCUAGAGUGCAGGAGAGGAAGGUAGAAUUCCCGGUGUAGCGGUGAAAUGCGUAGAGAUCGGGAGGAAUACCAGUGGCGAAGGCGGCCUUCUGGACUGACACUGACACUGAGGUGCGAAAGCGUGGGUAGCAAACAGGAUUAGAUACCCGAGUAGUC